AGUUCGAUUCUGGCUCAGAUUGAACGCUGGCGGGAUGCUACAUACAGAAGUCAGACAGCGCUUACGGACUUCGGUCUGGUGGCGGUGGCGAACGGGUGAGUAAUGUAUCGUUUGAUGCCUAGUAGCGGGGGAUAACUACGCAGCGUAGCUAAUACCACGCCGCCCAUCGGGGAAAGCGGGGACCUUCGGGCCUCGCACUAUUAGAGCGGCCGAUAUCGGAUUAGCUAGUUGGUGGGGUAACGGCUCACCAAGGCGACGAUCCGUAGCUGGUUUAGAGAGGACGACAGCCACACUGGGACUGAGACACGGCCAGACUCUACAGGAGGCAGCAGUGAGGAAUUUUGGACAAUGCAGGAAACCCUGAUCCAGCCAUCGCGUGUGCGAUGAAGGCCUUCGGGUUAUCAAAGCACUUUGGCAGGAAAGAAACGGCACGGGAUAAUACCCCGUGCAACUGACAGCCUGCUGGAAUAAGCACCGGCCCCAACUACGUGCCAGCAGCGCGGUAAUACGUAGGGUGCAAGCGUUAAUCGGAAUUACUGGGCGUAAAGCGUGCGCAGGCGGUUCGGAAAGAAGAUGUGAAAUCAGAGCUUAACUUUUGGAACUGCAUUUUUAACUACCGAGCUAGAGUGUGUCAGAGGGAGGUGGAAUUCCGAUGGCAACAGUGAAAUGCGUAGAUGUGCGGAGGAGGAACACCGAUAGCGGCAGCCUCCACCAGGAUAACACUGACGCUCAUGCACGAAAGCGUGGGGAGCAAAACGGGAUUAGAUACCCUGUUGAGUCCACGCCCUAAACGUGUCAGCAGCUGGCUUUGUUGGGGCCUUCGGGCCUUGGUAGCGCAGCCUAACGCGUGAAGUUGACCGCCUGCAGAGUACGGUCGCAAGAUUAAAACUCAAAGGAAUUGACGGGGACCCGCACAAGCGGUGGAUGAUGUGGAUUAAUUCGUGCAACGCGAAAAACCUGCCCUUGACGUAAAUGGAAUCCCGAAGAGAUUUGGGAGUGCUCGCAAGAGAACCGGAACCUGAGUGCUGCAUGGCUGUCGUCAGCUCGUGUCUCGUGAGAUGUUGGGUUAAGUCCCGCAACGAGCGCAACCCUUGUCAUUAGUUGCUACGAAAGAGGCACUCUAAUGAGCUGCCGGUGACAAACCGGAGGGAAGGUGGGGAUGACGUCAAGUCCUCAUGGCCCUUAUGGGUAGGGGCUUCACACGUCAUACAAUGGUCGGGACAGAGGGUCGCCAACCCGCGAGGAGCCAAUCCCAGAAACCCGAUCGUAGUCCGGAUCGCAGUCUGCAACUCGACUGCGUGAAGUCGAGAUCGCUGGUAAUCGCGGAUCAGCAUGUCGCGGUGAAUACGUUCCGGGUCUUUGUACACACCAUAAAUCACACCGUAGGGUGGGUUUACCGAAGUAGUUAGCCUAACCGUAAGGAGGGCGAUUACCUACAGUAGGAUUCAUGACUGGGGUGAAGUCGCUAAAGGUAG
rnacentral:rRNA from 1 species